CUUGACGGACCCGAGCCACAGCGGCCGGUCGUCGGGGCGGUCCUGGCCGUAGGUGGCCAGGAGCGCCUGGGCCUC
rfam:Streptomyces sparsogenes DSM 40356 contig00311, whole genome shotgun sequence.